GAAUUCAACUCCUACGGGAGGCAGCAGUGGGGAAUAUUGGACAAUGGGCGAAAGCCUGAUCCAGCAAUGCCGCGUGAGUGAUGAAGGCCUUAGGGUUGUAAAGCUCUUUUACCCGGGAUGAUAAUGACAGUACCGGGAGAAUAAGCUCCGGCUAACUCCGUGCCAGCAGCCGCGGUAAUACGGAGGGAGCUAGCGUUGUUCGGAAUUACUGGGCGUAAAGCGCACGUAGGCGGCUUUGUAAGUUAGAGGUGAAAGCCUGGAGCUCAACUCCAGAACUGCCUUUAAGACUGCAUCGCUUGAAUCCAGGAGAGGUGAGUGGAAUUCCGAGUGUAGAGGUGAAAUUCGUAGAUAUUCGGAAGAACACCAGUGGCGAAGGCGGCUCACUGGACUGGUAUUGACGCUGAGGUGCGAAAGCGUGGGGAGCAAACAGGAUUAGAAACCCUAGUAGUCCAGGCGUU
rnacentral:rRNA from 1 species